rnacentral:rRNA from 1 species
CGAAAGCGAGUUUUAAAAGAGCGUUUAGUUCAUAGGAUUAGACCCGAAACCGAGUGAUCUAGCUAUGGGUAGGUUGAAGGCACGGUAACACGUGCUGGAGGACCGAACCCACGUAUGUUGAAAAAUGCGGGGAUAACCUGUGGCUAGGGGUGAAAGGCCAAGCAAACUCGGAAAUAGCUGGUUCUCCGCGAAAACUAUUUAGGUAGUGCGUUGUGAUUAGGUUGUCGGGGGUAGAGCACUGGAUAGGGAAUGGGGGAGCGAUCCUUACUGACCCUAACCAAACUCCGAAUACCGAUUAACUUUGCACAGCAGACAGACUAUGGGUGCUAAGGUCCAUAGUCGAAAGGGAAACAGCCCAGACCACCAGUUAAGGUCCCCAAGUUAUGGUUAAGUGGGAAAGGGAGUAGAAAGUCCAAUACAACCAGGAGGUUGCUUAGAAGCAGCCAUCCUUUAAAGAAAGCGUAACAGCUCACUGGUCUAAUUAAGUCUUCCGCACCGAAGAUGUAACGGGGCUAAAACCAUACACCGAAACUGUGGACACUCUUUUGAGUGUGGUAGCGGAGCGUUCCGUAAGCUGUUGAAGUUAUGUUGUAAAGCAUAAUGGAGGUAUCGGAAGUGAGAAUUCUGACAUGAGUAGCGAUUAAUAGUGUGAGAAACACUAUCGCCGUACAUCCAAGGGUUCCUGCGCCAGGUUAAUCCGCGCAGGGUAAGCCGGCCCCUAAGGCGAGGGCGAAAGCCGUAGUCGAUGGGAACCAGAUUAAUAUUUCUGGGCCUGCUAGAAGUGACGAAUACUAACCUUUGUUUUUCCUUAUCGGAUUGGAAAAGCAGACAAGGUGUUCCAGGAAAUAGCUCUAGCAUAUAGACCGUACCCCAAACCGACACAGGUGGAUGAGUAGAGCAUACUAAGGCGUUUGAGAGAACGAUGUUGAAGGAACUCGGCAAAUUACUCUCGUAACUUCGGGAUAAGAGAGCCUUGAAUAAGGGCAACCUUUUUCAAGGGGCACAAACUAGGGGGUAGCGACUGUUUACUAAAAACACAGGGCUCUGCAAAGUCUUCAAGACGAAGUAUAGGGUCUGACGCCUGCCCGGUGCCGGAAGGUUAAAGUGAUGUGUGCAAGCAUUGAUCUGAAGCCCCGGUAAACGGCGGCCGUAACUAUAACGGUCCUAAGGUAGCGAAAUUCCUUGUCGGGUAAGUUCCGACCCGCAUGAAUGGCGUAACGACUUCCCCACUGUCUCCAACAUUGACUCAGCGAAAUUGAACUCUCCGUGAAGAUGCGGAGUACCCGUGGUUAGACGGAAAGACCCCGUGCACCUUUACUAUAGCUUCGUAGUGGUAUUAGUAAAUUAUUGUGUAGGAUAGGUGGGAGACAUUGAAGCGGAGGCGCUAGCCUUGCAGAGUCG